GUCGGCGUCAGCGUCAGCGUCAAGAGAGCGCUUAUUGACCGAAGCGGGUCAUUCACUGGUUUCACUGAAUAUUCGAGUCGCCCGCGUUUGCGUGAGCACUAAGAACACACGACCACCGUUGCGCUUAGUUUAAUCAGUUUCGGUUACGUGCAACAUUUGCAUCCGCGACGAAGUUCGGAAAGGAGUUGACCCCCGCUGGACUCAUAAAUAACAGUACAUUGCAAGGCUCCAAGAACACACCAACCUCGGCAUUGCGCGCAGCCAGCAUACUCCGUCAUCCCAGAACUGUCACAACACAAUCACCCACUACCACCGACGAACCGUAACACAUUCCAAGAAGGUUCACAAAGGCACAACGCAAUC